rnacentral:tRNA from 1 species
CAGAGAAUAGUUUAAAUUAGAAUCUCAGCUUUGGGUGCUGAUGGUGGAGUUAAAUACUUUUUCUCUGA